GAUGAACGCUGGCGGCGUGCUUAACACAUGCAAGUCGAACGGAAAGGCCCUGCUUUGUUGGGGUUCUCGAGUGGCGAACGGGUGAGUAACACGUGAGUAACCUGCCCUUCACUUUGGGAUAACUUCAGGAAACUGGGGCUAAUACCGGAUAGGACCUCCUGUUGGAUGGUGGGGGGGGGAAAGUUUCGGCGGGUGGGGAUGGACCCGCGGCUUAGCAGCUUGUUGGUGGGGUAGUGGUCCACCAAGGCUUAGGCGGGUAGCCGGCCUGUGAGGGUGACCGGCCACAUUGGGACUGAGAUAGGGCCCAGACUCCUACGGGGGACAACAGUGGGAAAUUUUACACAAUGGGCGGGAGCCUGAUACAGCAGCGCCGCGUGCGGGAAGGCGGUCUUCGGGGUAUAAACCGCUUUCGCCUGUGACGAAGCGUGUGUGACGGUAAUGGGAGAAGAAGCACCGGCUAACUACGUG
rnacentral:rRNA from 1 species